UAACCGGCGAUUUCCGAAUGGGGAAACCCAGUGUGAUUCGUCACACUAUCAUUAACUGAAUCCAUAGGUUAAUGAGGCGAACCGGGGGAACUGAAACAUCUAAGUACCCCGAGGAAAAGAAAUCAACCGAGAUUCCCCCAGUAGCGGCGAGCGAACGGGGAGCAGCCCAGAGCCUGAAUCAGUGUGUGUGUUAGUGGAAGCGUCUGGAAAGGCGCGCGAUACAGGGUGACAGCCCCGUACACAAAAAUGCACAUAUUGUGAGCUCGAUGAGUAGGGCGGGACACGUGGUAUCCUGUCUGAAUAUGGGGGGCCCAUCCUCCAAGGCUAAAUACUCCUGACUGACCGAUAGUGAACCAGUACCGUGAGGGAAAGGCGAAAAGAACCCCGGCGAGGGGAGUGAAAAAGAACCUGAAACCGUGUACGUACAAGCAGUGGGAGCACGCUUAGGCGUGUGACUGCGUACCUUUUGUAUAAUGGGUCAGCGACUUAUAUUCUGUAGCAAGGUUAACCGAAUAGGGGAGCCGAAGGGAAACCGAGUCUUAACUGGGCGUUAAGUUGCAGGGUAUAGACCCGAAACCCGGUGAUCUAGCCAUGGGCAGGUUGAAGGUUGGGUAACACUAACUGGAGGACCGAACCGACUAAUGUUGAAAAAUUAGCGGAUGACUUGUGGCUGGGGGUGAAAGGCCAAUCAAACCGGGAGAUAGCUGGUUCUCCCCGAAAGCUAUUUAGGUAGCGCCUCGUGAAUUCAUCUCCGGGGGUAGAGCACUGUUUCGGCAAGGGGGUCAUCCCGACUUACCAACCCGAUGCAAACUGCGAAUACCGGAGAAUGUUAUCACGGGAGACACACGGCGGGUGCUAACGUCCGUCGUGAAGAGGGAAACAACCCAGACCGCCAGCUAAGGUCCCAAAGUCAUGGUUAAGUGGGAAACGAUGUGGGAAGGCCCAGACAGCCAGGAUGUUGGCUUAGAAGCAGCCAUCAUUUAAAGAAAGCGUAAUAGCUCACUGGUCGAGUCGGCCUGCGCGGAAGAUGUAACGGGGCUAAACCAUGCACCGAAGCUGCGGCAGCGACGCUUAUGCGUUGUUGGGUAGGGGAGCGUUCUGUAAGCCUGCGAAGGUGUGCUGUGAGGCAUGCUGGAGGUAUCAGAAGUGCGAAUGCUGACAUAAGUAACGAUAAAGCGGGUGAAAAGCCCGCUCGCCGGAAGACCAAGGGUUCCUGUCCAACGUUAAUCGGGGCAGGGUGAGUCGACCCCUAAGGCGAGGCCGAAAGGCGUAGUCGAUGGGAAACAGGUUAAUAUUCCUGUACUUGGUGUUACUGCGAAGGGGGGACGGAGAAGGCUAUGUUGGCCGGGCGACGGUUGUCCCGGUUUAAGCGUGUAGGCUGGUUUUCCAGGCAAAUCCGGAAAAUCAAGGCUGAGGCGUGAUGACGAGGCACUACGGUGCUGAAGCAACAAAUGCCCUGCUUCCAGGAAAAGCCUCUAAGCAUCAGGUAACAUCAAAUCGUACCCCAAACCGACACAGGUGGUCAGGUAGAGAAUACCAAGGCGCUUGAGAGAACUCGGGUGAAGGAACUAGGCAAAAUGGUGCCGUAACUUCGGGAGAAGGCACGCUGAUAUGUAGGUGAAGUCCCUUGCGGAUGGAGCUGAAAUCAGUCGAAGAUACCAGCUGGCUGCAACUGUUUAUUAAAAACACAGCACUGUGCAAACACGAAAGUGGACGUAUACGGUGUGACGCCUGCCCGGUGCCGGAAGGUUAAUUGAUGGGGUCAGCGCAAGCGAAGCUCUUGAUCGAAGCCCCGGUAAACGGCGGCCGUAACUAUAACGGUCCUAAGGUAGCGAAAUUCCUUGUCGGGUAAGUUCCGACCUGCACGAAUGGCGUAAUGAUGGCCAGGCUGUCUCCACCCGAGACUCAGUGAAAUUGAACUCGCUGUGAAGAUGCAGUGUACCCGCGGCAAGACGGAAAGACCCCGUGAACCUUUACUAUAGCUUGACACUGAACAUUGAGCCUUGAUGUGUAGGAUAGGUGGGAGGCUUUGAAGUGUGGACGCCAGUCUGCAUGGAGCCGGCCUUGAAAUACCACCCUUUAAUGUUUGAUGUUCUAACGUGGACCCGUGAUCCGGGUUGCGGACAGUGUCUGGUGGGUAGUUUGACUGGGGCGGUCUCCUCCUAAAGAGUAACGGAGGAGCACGAAGGUUGGCUAAUCCUGGUCGGACAUCAGGAGGUUAGUGCAAUGGCAUAAGCCAGCUUGACUGCGAGCGUGACGGCGCGAGCAGGUGCGAAAGCAGGUCAUAGUGAUCCGGUGGUUCUGAAUGGAAGGGCCAUCGCUCAACGGAUAAAAGGUACUCCGGGGAUAACAGGCUGAUACCGCCCAAGAGUUCAUAUCGACGGCGGUGUUUGGCACCUCGAUGUCGGCUCAUCACAUCCUGGGGCUGAAGUAGGUCCCAAGGGUAUGGCUGUUCGCCAUUUAAAGUGGUACGCGAGCUGGGUUUAGAACGUCGUGAGACAGUUCGGUCCCUAUCUGCCGUGGGCGCUGGAGAACUGAGGGGGGCUGCUCCUAGUACGAGAGGACCGGAGUGGACGCAUCACUGGUGUUCGGGUUGUCAUGCCAAUGGCACUGCCCGGUAGCUAAAUGCGGAAGAGAUAAGUGCUGAAAGCAUCUAAGCACGAAACUUGCCCCGAGAUGAGUUCUCCCUGACCCUUUAAGGGUCCUGAAGGAACGUUGAAGACGACGACGUUGAUAGGCCGGGUGUGUAAGCGCAGCGAUGCGUUGAGCUAACCGGUACUAAUGAACCGUGAGG
rnacentral:rRNA from 1 species